UACUUUAUUUUAGAUUUAGAGUCUCAGGUUGCCCAGAAGCUCAUAGAGGGAUAGAAAUAGGCUAUGCUUUGUCAGUUAUUGCUCUUAUUUCUUCGUUCAGUUGCUAAGUUGUGUCUAGUUAAGAUGCCUGCUGACUGAUACUUUGUUAAAAGUAACUUUAAGUUGAACUACUGUAUUAAUCAACCUAUUUGAAAAGAGAUAACUCCCUUUUUAUUUCAUGAUUACAUGACAAUUCAUCACAUGAAUGUUUAACACUCAUAUAGGAAUGGUAAUUUGUUUAAAGUUUAGGCACAAAAUUGGCUUGAAUCCUAACCAUUAUGACCCUUUAUUCGAUUAUGUAGCUAGGGUGUGUUUGUUUACGACCGCAAGCAGAAAGCUAUAUAGAGAAAGAUGUACAAUUUAAUGAGCAUCUGUGGUUUACGUCCUGACACGCCUCUCAUUUACUUUCAUCAGUUUUUCUGCUUACAAACGUCACCUUUCAGCUUAAUAUCGGUACUAAAUCCAAAUGGCUCCCUUUGUGUUCCUUCCACUUUCACAUGUAGUGUCUUCACAGGACAUUUUUCUAAGCCUAUAAUCUUUGGACUGCUCUUGCAUACCAAAGAGUUUAGUCUACACUGAACUCUGCUCUUCUGAUUUAAACAGUUUAUUCCUUAAAAACCAUCAAGGAUGCAAGCACAUAUGUAGAAGGUUUCCCAAGCCCUGUCAGAAUAUUCCAAAGAAAUCCAUAGGUACUUGGAACUGAAGCAGGAGCAGGCUCCAAGAGUGCUCAGAUCUCUGUCGGCAGAGUUGGACAGGAUUCCACUGUGCAGUUGCUCACAGCUGGUUCCAGCUGUUGCUGCAUGUUUUGACCCUGUUUUUGGUGAAGAUUGUGUUUCCAGUCCUUCCUCUCCCCGCUUACAAUCCUACACAAACAGUGUCGUGUGGUUUGCUGGGGAAGCUGAUAGUAUUCGUAAAGGCCAGUGGCUCCUUCCAAAGGCACACCGACUAUUCAUAUAAAGUUACUUCUGCAAAUAAAGCUGUUUACUUUGGUU